GGUUAAGCGACUAAGCGUACACGGUGGAUGCCCUGGCAGUCAGAGGCGAUGAAGGACGUGCUAAUCUGCGAUAAGCGUCGGUAAGGUGAUAUGAACCGUUAUAACCGGCGAUUUCCGAAUGGGGAAACCCAGUGUGAUUCGUCACACUAUCAUUAACUGAAUCCAUAGGUUAAUGAGGCGAACCGGGGGAACUGAAACAUCUAAGUACCCCGAGGAAAAGAAAUCAACCGAGAUUCCCCCAGUAGCGGCGAGCGAACGGGGAGCAGCCCAGAGUCUGAAUCAGUGUGUGUGUUAGUGGAAGCGUCUGGAAAGGCGCGCGAUACAGGGUGACAGCCCCGUACACAAAAAUGCACAUACUGUGAGCUCGAUGAGUAGGGCGGGACACGUGGUAUCCUGUCUGAAUAUGGGGGGACCAUCCUCCAAGGCUAAAUACUCCUGACUGACCGAUAGUGAACCAGUACCGUGAGGGAAAGGCGAAAAGAACCCCGGCGAGGGGAGUGAAAAAGAACCUGAAACCGUGUACGUACAAGCAGUGGGAGCACGCUUAGGCGUGUGACUGCGUACCUUUUGUAUAAUGGGUCAGCGACUUAUAUUCUGUAGCAAGGUUAACCGAAUAGGGGAGCCGAAGGGAAACCGAGUCUUAACUGGGCGUUAAGUUGCAGGGUAUAGACCCGAAACCCGGUGAUCUAGCCAUGGGCAGGUUGAAGGUUGGGUAACACUAACUGGAGGACCGAACCGACUAAUGUUGAAAAAUUAGCGGAUGACUUGUGGCUGGGGGUGAAAGGCCAAUCAAACCGGGAGAUAGCUGGUUCUCCCCGAAAGCUAUUUAGGUAGCGCCUCGUGAAUUCAUCUCCGGGGGUAGAGCACUGUUUCGGCAAGGGGGUCAUCCCGACUUACCAACCCGAUGCAAACUGCGAAUACCGGAGAAUGUUAUCAUGGGAGACACACGGCGGGUGCUAACGUCCGUCGUGAAGAGGGAAACAACCCAGACCGCCAGCUAAGGUCCCAAAGUCAUGGUUAAGUGGGAAACGAUGUGGGAAGGCCCAGACAGCCAGGAUGUUGGCUUAGAAGCAGCCAUCAUUUAAAGAAAGCGUAAUAGCUCACUGGUCGAGUCGGCCUGCGCGGAAGAUGUAACGGGGCUAAACCAUGCACCGAAGCUGCGGCAGCGACGCUGAUGCGUUGUUGGGUAGGGGAGCGUUCUGUAAGCCUGCGAAGGUGUGCUGUGAGGCAUGCUGGAGGUAUCAGAAGUGCGAAUGCUGACAUAAGUAACGAUAAAGCGGGUGAAAAGCCCGCUCGCCGGAAGACCAAGGGUUCCUGUCCAACGUUAAUCGGGGCAGGGUGAGUCGACCCCUAAGGCGAGGCCGAAAGGCGUAGUCGAUGGGAAACAGGUUAAUAUUCCUGUACUUGGUGUUACUGCGAAGGGGGGACGGAGAAGGCUAUGUUGGCCGGGCGACGGUUGUCCCGGUUUAAGCGUGUAGGCUGGUUUUCCAGGCAAAUCCGGAAAAUCAAGGCUGAGGCGUGAUGACGAGGCACUACGGUGCUGAAGCAACAAAUGCCCUGCUUCCAGGAAAAGCCUCUAAGCAUCAGGUAACAUCAAAUCGUACCCCAAACCGACACAGGUGGUCAGGUAGAGAAUACCAAGGCGCUUGAGAGAACUCGGGUGAAGGAACUAGGCAAAAUGGUGCCGUAACUUCGGGAGAAGGCACGCUGAUAUGUAGGUGAGGUCCCUCGCGGAUGGAGCUGAAAUCAGUCGAAGAUACCAGCUGGCUGCAACUGUUUAUUAAAAACACAGCACUGUGCAAACACGAAAGUGGACGUAUACGGUGUGACGCCUGCCCGGUGCCGGAAGGUUAAUUGAUGGGGUUAGCGCAAGCGAAGCUCUUGAUCGAAGCCCCGGUAAACGGCGGCCGUAACUAUAACGGUCCUAAGGUAGCGAAAUUCCUUGUCGGGUAAGUUCCGACCUGCACGAAUGGCGUAAUGAUGGCCAGGCUGUCUCCACCCGAGACUCAGUGAAAUUGAACUCGCUGUGAAGAUGCAGUGUACCCGCGGCAAGACGGAAAGACCCCGUGAACCUUUACUAUAGCUUGACACUGAACAUUGAGCCUUGAUGUGUAGGAUAGGUGGGAGGCUUUGAAGUGUGGACGCCAGUCUGCAUGGAGCCGACCUUGAAAUACCACCCUUUAAUGUUUGAUGUUCUAACGUUGACCCGUAAUCCGGGUUGCGGACAGUGUCUGGUGGGUAGUUUGACUGGGGCGGUCUCCUCCUAAAGAGUAACGGAGGAGCACGAAGGUUGGCUAAUCCUGGUCGGACAUCAGGAGGUUAGUGCAAUGGCAUAAGCCAGCUUGACUGCGAGCGUGACGGCGCGAGCAGGUGCGAAAGCAGGUCAUAGUGAUCCGGUGGUUCUGAAUGGAAGGGCCAUCGCUCAACGGAUAAAAGGUACUCCGGGGAUAACAGGCUGAUACCGCCCAAGAGUUCAUAUCGACGGCGGUGUUUGGCACCUCGAUGUCGGCUCAUCACAUCCUGGGGCUGAAGUAGGUCCCAAGGGUAUGGCUGUUCGCCAUUUAAAGUGGUACGCGAGCUGGGUUUAGAACGUCGUGAGACAGUUCGGUCCCUAUCUGCCGUGGGCGCUGGAGAACUGAGGGGGGCUGCUCCUAGUACGAGAGGACCGGAGUGGACGCAUCACUGGUGUUCGGGUUGUCAUGCCAAUGGCACUGCCCGGUAGCUAAAUGCGGAAGAGAUAAGUGCUGAAAGCAUCUAAGCACGAAACUUGCCCCGAGAUGAGUUCUCCCUGACCCUUUAAGGGUCCUGAAGGAACGUUGAAGACGACGACGUUGAUAGGCCGGGUGUGUAAGCGCAGCGAUGCGUUGAGCUAACCGGUACUAAUGAACCGUGAGGCUUAACCUU
rnacentral:rRNA from 1 species